rnacentral:tRNA from 1 species
GGGGCCAUAGCUCAGCUGGGAGAGCGUUGCGCUGGCAGUGCAAAGGUCAGGGGUUCGAGCCCCCUUGGCUCCAUCA